rnacentral:piRNA from 1 species
UGUCUGCAGGAUACAAGUUAGAGGG